rnacentral:rRNA from 1 species
CAGUCGCCGCGGGAAUACGUAGGUGGCAAGCGUUGUCCGGAAUUAUUGGGCGUAAAGGGCUCGCAGGCGGUUUCUUAAGUCUGAUGUGAAAGCCCCCGGCUCAACCGGGGAGGGUCAUUGGAAACUGGGAAACUUGAGUGCAGAAGAGGAGAGUGGAAUUCCACGUGUAGCGGUGAAAUGCGUAGAGAUGUGGAGGAACACCAGUGGCGAAGGCGACUCUCUGGUCUGUAACUGACGCUGAGGAGCGAAAGCGUGAGGAGCAAACAGGAUUAGAUACCCCCGUAGUCCCUGUCUCUUAUCA